rnacentral:rRNA from 1 species
CACGGGGAGGUAGUGACGAAAAAUAACGAUACGGGACUCAUCCGAGGCCCCGUAAUCGGAAUGAGUACACUCUAAACCUUUUAACAAGGAUCAAUUGAAGGGUAAGUCUGGUGCCAGCAGCCGCGGUAAUUCCAGCUUCAAUAGCGUAUAUUAAAGUUGUUGCGGUUAAAAAGCUCGUAGUCGAAUGUGUGUCCCGCGCCGCUGGUUCAUCGCUCGCGGUGUUCAACUGGCGUGCUCGCGGGACGUCCUGCCGGUGGGCUCUACGUUGUGCGGUCGCUUCGGCGGUCGUGCGCGUGGCUCAACUCGUAGACGUUUCGACGGAUGCGAAUCCCAUCGCGGUGCUCUUUAUUGAGUGUCGAGGUGGGCCGGCACGUUUACUUUGAACAAAUUAGAGUGCUUAAAGCAGGCCAAUUUUGCCUGAAUAUUGUGUGCAUGGAAUAAUGGAAUAGGACCUCGGUUCUAUUUUGUUGGUUUUCGGAACCCCGAGGUAAUGAUUAAUAGGAACGGAUGGGGGCAUUCGUAUUGCGACGUUAGAGGUGAAAUUCUUGGAUCGUCGCAAGACGGACUGAAGCGAAAGCAUUUGCCAAAAACGUUUUCAUUGAUCAAGAACGAAAGUUAGAGGUUCGAAGGCGAUCAGAUACCGCCCUAGUUCUAACCAUAAACGAUGCCAGCUAGCGAUCCGCCGACGUUCCUCCGAUGACUCGGCGGGCAGCUUCCGGGAAACCAAAGCUUUUGGGUUCCGGGGGAAGUAUGGUUGCAAAGCUGAAACUUAAAGGAAUUGACGGAAGGGCACCACCAGGAGUGGAGCCUGCGGCUUAAUUUGACUCAACACGGGAAACCUCACCAGGCCC